AUUGAACGCUGGCGGCAGGCCUUACACAUGCAAGUCGAACGGAGUGGCGAACGGGUGCGUAAUGUAUCGGAAUGUGCCCCGUAGCGGGGGAUAACUACCCGAAAGCGUAGCUAAUACCGCAUACUAUUCGAUGGGCCUAUGUCGGAUUAGCUAGUUGGGGGGGUAACGGCCUACCAAGGCGACGAUCCGUAGCUGGUUUGAGAGGAUGACCAGCCACACUGGAACUGAGACACGGCCCAGACGCCUACGGGAGGCAGCAGUGGGGAAUUUUGGACAAUGGGGGAAAGCCUGAUCCAGCCAUCCCGCGUGUGGGAAGAAGGCCUUCGGUUUGUAAAGUACUUUAAGCGGGGAGGCGGUACCCGCAGAAGAAGCACCGGCUAACUUCGUGCCAGCAGCCGCGGUAAUAC
rnacentral:rRNA from 1 species